CUGUCGAUUGGCGAUAAUUGUACAGCUGGCGCCCUCUGCCCGGGUAACUCUACCUGUACACCAGCCACCGGUGGUUGCAUCAACAGAUGUUGGUGUGACGUAGGAUUUGCCCCUUCUGCUGAUAAAAAGUCAUGUUUACCUGUUGUAAAAAUAGGGGAUGUGUGUAGUAGAGAAAGCACAAGAUGUAUCUCGCCUUUAUCACGAUGUAUUGACGGGCAAUGUGAAUGUUAUCGCGGGUUUUCGCCUGUUGUCAAUAACACUGGUUGUAAACCUAAAGACUAUCCACCGUACGUUGUAAUACCAGCCCUAGGGGAGUUGUGUGAUGGCAAAAACAAAAGGUGCUUUAUGAAACAAGAACAGAUUUGUGGUAAUUCUAAAGUUUGUGAGUGUAGACAGGGUCUUAGACCAGCUGAAUAUGAAGAUUUAGUGGCUGAAUAUUACAAUAUGCAACAAUGCCGUAAUGAAAGCUUUAUUAGAGGUUACCGACCAACGUUAACUUGUAGUGAACCACCGGUUUCUUUAAUGGCCGAACCCGAUGAUGAUGAAACCACUAGUGCCGCAGCUUCACCCAAUCAGAUUCUAUCAAUUGUUGUACCUACAGUUGUCGUUAUAGCUGGUAUCAUGGCAACCAUCUACUCCAUUAUGAAAUGGAGAAGGAGGAGACGUACUACACACAGCGACGAUUCGAGUUCUUCAAGUAGAAGUGAAUGUGAUAGCGAAGCUAGCUUCCGGUUACCACGUCCCCAUUUUAUCCAGCCAAGUUUAUUCCGAGACGAUAGAAGUUGGAAUAAUACUGACAAGAACUUUAAUAACCCUUUAUAUAAUAGUUAAUAGGACUAUAUUAGAUCAAUUCAUAUAUGCAAAGAAUUACUCAACUAGAGCUUUAUUCCCAAAAGAUUUGGGUACAGCUCCGUUCAAUACACGCUGCUCUGACAUCUGUGGUCUGUAGUAAUGACAUUUAAAGCGACACUCCAAUAAAGUAAUCCAUUUGGCUGCAUUUUCAUCACGAUUUCU